rnacentral:rRNA from 1 species
CCUACGGGGGGCAGCAGUGAGGAAUAUUGGACAAUGGACGAGAGUCUGAACCAGCCAAGCAGCGUGAAGGAUGACUGCCCUAUGGGCUGUAAACUUCUUUUAUAUGGGAAUAAAUUGUUCCACGUGUGGGAUUUUGUAUGUACCAUAUGAAUAAGGAUCGGCUAACUCCGCGCCAGCAGCCGCGGUAAUACGGAGGAUCCGAGCGUUAUCCGGAUUUAUUGGGUUUAAAGGGAGCGUAGAUGGGUAGUUAAGUCAGUUGUGAAAGUUUGCGGCUCAACCGUAAAAUUGCAAUUGAUACUGGCAGUCUUGAGUACAGUUGAGGUAAGCGGAAGUCGUGGUGUAGCGGUGAAAUGCUUAGAUAUCACGAAGAACCCCGAUUGCGAAGGCAGCUUACUAAACUGUGACUGACAUUGAGGCUCGAAAGUGUGGGGAUCAAACAGGAUUAGAUACCCCUGUAGUC